rnacentral:RNase_P_RNA from 1 species
UCAGUUAAGUGGUCGUGGCUUCAUUUUUGAAGACGAGGAAAGUCCGCGCUGCAUAGAGCAGAGUGCCUGAUAACGUCAGGUGGAGGUGACUCUAAGGAUAGUGCAACAGAAAUAAACCGCCUGAUUUAUUCAGGUAAGGGUGGAAAGGUAGAGUAAGAGCCUACCGCACCUGUGGUAACAUAGGUGGCUCUGUAAACCCCACUCGCAGCAAGUUCGGAUAAGACAUAAGGAGUUGCUCGCUCCGUCUUAGGUAGAGAACGCUUGAGGUCAGUGGCGACACUGAAACUAGAUAGAUGACCACUCACGACAGAACGCGGCUUAUCGACUGGCUGA